AUGAGAAAACAUAAUACCAAGUUACAGAUUUGCCUAAAAACCAGCCACUUCCAUUUUUCCUUUUUUUUUCUGUUGGGGGAUUUAAUCCAGAGCAAAAAAGAGAGAUCUCUGGAAGCUGGUCUCACAGCAAAGAUGUAUGAUGCUGUCAUGUAUCUAUGUAUGGCUAUUAUGGUGGCACUCAAAUUCAAAUGUCAUCUGCGUGAGAUGAAUUCACUCUUGGUGUUUGCCUCUGCCUCCCGUUCUUCUGCAACAGUAGAGUCCAGCAUUGACUAAAGCAAGGAAUGGGCUAAUGGAGACCCUCCAGAUCUCUCUGUGUUCCCAGGUUAAUCUCUCUAAAUGAGAUUCUCUGUGUGGCUGCCAAGUUCACCCUACGCGAUAUUUAAAUCCAUGAUACAGAAAAAGAAAAUGGGAUUGCAGUGUCCUUAUGAUCAGUUUCUUAAUAAUUAGCGGGAUUCAAAGUGUCUAAUUUCAAGGAAAGCUGUGAGAGUAAUUUCAUGUAAAUAUCCUAAGAUUUGGUGUAAGGCAUUCAAAAAACUGGAUGUGUUACCCAAUGCUAGAAAAAAUUAAUAUAACACCCAGUCCCUUCCAAUAGACUCAGUUGUGUCCUGGUUUUGCUUAUGUGGGUCAAACUUGGGAGGAGUUGGGCUGAUUUAAAAUCAAUGUACAUUCCAUUACAUAUAGGUCCUCUGGUUUUUAUAUGCAAAUCUUUGUGUAGCCAUGUAUAGUCUUAGAAAUGGAUUAGUGCCUUCACUGUAUCCUGAGGUGCAGUGUAUUGGAGCGCCUUUCACAACAAAGUUUGCUUGGAAUUAGUCACUGCACUUUGAAGUUGUUUUUGCUUUUUGAACACCGAUAUUAUCGGUGUAUGCUGCUUUUCUUCUUUAAAUGGCCUAAGGAUGAAGAGCUGAAACUUGUGUGUAGCAUCAGCAGCUUGUUCAGAAAGUUGGCCUGAAUAAAAGUCUGGCCUGAUUUGGGUGAGAAUCAAAAUAAAUAUGAAGUGACAGGCUUACCAUUUCCCUCAUCUUGGAAAGGGAUAAAGAGAGCACAGAACAGGAAUUGGCUCAGUUGUCAAGAAGGGACUAAGAGAAGACCCAGUCAUACCAAGUGCCUGUGAGCUGGUCUGUUCCUGGAGUAGAUUACAGCAAAAUACUGAUGAUUGCAUUGGUUUUUACUGUCCUAGGCUGCAUUACGUGGAAGUGUGCAAGAAGGGAGAGUGGAUAGGAAUGAAGCUGAUAACUCUCUUUCUCUGACCCGCAGCAAGAAUGUGCUUGGGUGAGAAGGAGGGAGUUUAAUGAUGCACAUGAGCAUAUGAGCUGAUGGUUGGGAAUCCUGGGCUAGUAGCUCAAAAUGGACAAGAAACUGUGUUGGUGAAUCAAAAGUAGAAGCUAGAGGUAUCUUGGGAUUUGUAAGGAGUGUAAGUGAAGAUAAGCACAAAUUUGUUGGGGAGUACUAAUUACUGAACAAGCAAAAGUGGGCUGCUUCUGUGCAGCCAGGAAAACAUAAGGAAAACCUCCCAAAAGUGGACUAAAAGUCCUUAAAACUUCAUGAAAGAGGUGGCAGAGCCCUAUGUGAUACUUAUUUCAUUACCUAUCACUGCUUAUGAAACCCCACCUUUGGAAAGAUCUCCAGAUUUUAGAAAUACGAUGUCUCCAGGAGAACUUGUGAAGGUCAUCAGGUGGAUUUUGAUCCUCUAGACUAAAAAUCGUGGAAAUGUGAAUACAAUGUAGAAGGUGAUUGUUUCAGAGGUCUGUUUGGUCUAGGACUGUAUGUGUCUAGUUCUCUGUAGUGAUAGUUUAGCAGUCCUCAAAGCCCCGGCUUAGGGCAUCUUGAGUUUUGUAGAAAUAACCCUAUCAAUACUGGAGUCUCUUCUGCACACUGGCAAACCAUAAUAAAAUUGUCUCUGCUAGUAGAAGGAUCUGUACAGAAGUUAUACAGGAUCAACUCCUCUGCAGCAGUUCUCAGCACUUGAAAGAGUUCAUGGGUGGCCAGGUCUCUGGAGCAGAUACAGACCAGCGCAAGAGUUACUGCAAGAGGAUAACAGGCUUUGGUGCAUUUAAGUUGUACAGUAGAGCUCAUCAGUGUGCAGUAUGCUUUCCACCUUUCCUCUAAGGACUUUGCAAUGUCUCCUGGGCAUGAAAUUGAGCUCCUUUUCCUGAAGGAUUGGCAAGCAUUCAUUCUGUAUACUGAGAGGCUGUGAUUCAGAGGGCUAAACGACAUGCCUAUCCUGUAAUAGUGAGCGUGCGUCUGGGAAGAAUGGAGUUAUUGGUGUACUAUUCAAGUUUGAAAAAAGCUCAGUUCAGAUUGGAUCAAGUUUACUUUUUUGCCUUUUCCUUAAAAAAUAAUAAGAAAAAAUUCAGUAUGUCAAAAGAUGCAUCUUUUCAGAGUGAGACGAAGUCUCCUGUUUUCAGACCCUUGUGCAGCUGACCGAAGGAGUGAUAUGCUGUAGUGUCCCCAGUAGCAGUGGAUUUGACAUCCUGGAGACCCUUAUUUCUUUACCUUGUCAUUCAGUCAUCAGCACAGGUACCUGGGAUGUCAGAUUACUGUUCAGUGUUAUCCUGUGCUCAGAAGAAUUUGAACAUAUUGCCUGAACAAAAUGCCCCAGGUAGCAGGCUGAAGUGUUUGAAUGGCUGUCCAUUUCCCUUGAUUAGGCUGUUAGUUAAGAAACUGGAUAUUAAUCUGAAAGCAAAGCAAGGCAAACAUCCCAUUUUUAAGCAUGUGACCCAACCUUAACCAUAACAUCACAGAUCCUUGCUCUUUUGCUAGGUGACUAAGGGAGUGAUCAAGAACACCCAUUUGUAAUGUGUCUCUGUAGCAUGGUUUCCUGAUCACAGUGGUCUCCUGGGAGGUUCAGAUCUCUUAAACAAACUGAACACAGAUCCUUCACUUCCUUAGGUGAAUGCUCAAGCCACUGAGACCAGCUUGUCUUCUGGAGGCUUUGUGAGUCUUGUCUGAAUUUCUUGGAUGCUGUUCAGCGGGAGGGGAGAGGAGGUAGAAGAAUUGGGAGUUGAGUGCCCCCCUGGGAAGAAGGAGGGGUGGGGAGAAGGUGGUUUUAGUUUUGUUCUUAUUUCUCACUGUCAUGGUUUAACCCAAGCCAGCAAAUAAGCACCAUGCAGCUGCUCACUCACUUCCCCCCAACCCAGUGGGAUGGGGGAGGAAAUUGGGAAAAAAAAGUAAAACUUGUGGGUUGAGAUAAGAACAAUUUAUAGAACAGAAAGGAAGAAACUAAUAAUAAUAAUGGUAACACUAAUAAAAUGAUAAUAGGAAUAAUAAAAGGAUUGGAAUAUGCAAGUGAUGCACAAUGCAAUUGCUCACCACCUGCUGACCGAUGCCCAGUUAGUUCCUGAGCUGCAAUCCCCCCCACCCCCAGUUUAUAUACAGGGCAUGACAUCCCAUGGUAUGGAAUACCCUGUUGGCCAGUUUAGGUCAGCUGUCCUGGCUGCGUCCCUUCCCAACUUCUUGUGCCCCUCCAGCCUUCUUGCUGGCUGGGCAUGAGAAGCUGGAAAAUCCUUGACUUAGUCUAAACAUUACUUAACACACUGUUUUUUUCAGUUGUUGCUAUCAACAUUCUUUUCAUACUGAACCCAAAACAUAAGACUAUACCAGCUACUAGGAAGACAAUUAACUCUAUCGCAGCUGAAACCAGGACUAAUUUCCCUGAAGUCAAGUCUGGUCUGCCCAUGACAGUAACUAGUGAGUGAGUCUUUAUCGCAACUGAUGAGCUUUUCCAUCAUAUUUUCUUCCCAUGUCCUGUUGAGGACAAGGAGUGAUAGAGCAGCUUGGUGUGCAUCUGGUGACCAGCCAAGGUCAACCCACCACAAUGCUGUAAGUGUCAGACAGCCAUAACCAGUUAGACUGGAGCUGUGUCCAGUAAAGCAUGCAAAUCUUUAGAAAACAGCCUCUGACAGUAAGGAAUCCUGGUGGUUUGUUUCUAUGAAAGGUACUUCUGGAGUAUAAUAAAAGAGAAAGCACAAAUCUUACUACUGACCUCUGGCCAUGUAACUAUUGAAAUCCCAGUAUCACAGCUCCUGUAGAGGUUGCUUCUUGCCAAAAGCACUUCACUUAUGGGAUUAGAAGGGAUAUCUUGUUCAACAGUAUGCAUUUACUAUGCAUUCAGCUCAACUGUUUCUUCUUGAUGAUCACAUCUGUGACACCCAGAUGCCAUUGCCUCCAGGCUAGCCACUGAACAGAGCUAGUGGCAAAAGGCAAAUGCCUGUGGUCCUGACUGUAUUCACUCCACAGUGAACUGUGAGUGUCUUAUCAAGAGACGAGAAUGGUCUUGAACCAGCGGAUUAUCUUACUUUCACUAAAUGGUAGGUAUUGAAAACAAUUUCAACACAGGGAUCAAGUCCUUUCUCCCAGAGAAAAGGUACACACGCAAAACUUUCUGUUGAACUACAGGGCAAAGGUUUACUUCAUAUUUGCAUUGUCUUUUUACUGGUAAGGACUGGUCUGGAGUUCAAAUCUCUUACUAAUAACUUCUGAUUUUGUCAUGUCUUUACUGGAACGAGGAAAUAUGAGCAGAUUUUUCUUUCCUUUUGUUAAUAAAAGGAGUUUUAACAACAUUUCAUGUUGCUUAGUUGUGGUAAAAGUCUGGUCACUUGUUUUAUUUCAGUAUCUCGGGAGGUUAUCUAUUAAGUCUUUAUGGGGUUAAAAAUGAAUCCAGAUGUGUUUAUGCAGUAUCUGCUUUAAUGCAGUAGGCACAGCUGUUUUUUGGAUGUAUCCUGGCUAGAUUCCAACAUGAGCAGUCACAUUUUCCCUGUCUCUGAACUCCCUUGUAGUUUUUACUAUCAACAAGAACACAAAACCCACAAGAACAUUACUAAGCUUGGUAUUUCCAAACAACAUUUGGUGAGUGUCCCACUGCUAUGAGAAGAAAUUUUGAGAAUCAGGUAUUUAUAAAUUCAUCUGGAGUUGUGGGUUUUUUUGCCUACUAGCUUUUGAAC
rnacentral:lncRNA from 1 species